UCGAGAAUCUUCCGCAAUGGACGAAAGUCUGACGGAGCGAUACAGCGUGAUGGACGAAGUGCCUCGGCACGUAAACAUCUUUUAUGUGGGACGAAAUUAUUGACGGUACCACAUGAAUAAGGGGCUCCUAACUCUGUGCCAGCAGGAGCGGUAAUACAGAGGCCCCAAGCAUUAUCCGGAAUCACUGGGCGUAAAGGGUGUCAAGGCGGUCAUGUUAGUCGUUUGUAAAAUCCGGGGGCUCAACCUCCGGCCCGCAAGCGAAACGGCAUGACUAGAGGUCGGGAGAGGUGUGUGGAACUCACGGUGUAGGGGUGAAAUCCGUUGAUAUCGUGGGGAACACCAAAGGCGAAGGCAGCACACUGGCCCGAAUCUGACGCUCACACACGAAAGCCAGGGUAGCGAAUGGGAUUAGAUACCCCCGUAGUCC
rnacentral:rRNA from 1 species